rnacentral:lncRNA from 1 species
AUGUUCUUGGCUGGGCUUGAAAGAAAUUGGAGUGCGUGCACACAUGCAUGUGCACACACACACACAUUGCCUAUUGCACGCACAGUGUGUGUGCACGCACAUAUGUGCAUGCCCCAGCACACAAAACGGCAGACGGUGGAGCUGGCAGCCUGGAGAGCCCCAAAAUGCCCAUGGCAGCUGGGGGGAUCGAUCCUGGCAGCAGUCCCGUGCAUCACUUUGGGGCUGAAUGACCUGCCAUUGCUCUCCCGCUUGGCGAGCCCGUACCACUGCCGUGUGCCCCCAGGCAUUGUCAGCAGGGUCCGGCCCUGGGAGGAGGUGAUGGAGGUGACGGGUGCAUCCUUCCUGGGGAGGGAUGAGCUUCCCGUCCGAAGGGGAACAGCAGCCCUGCCGCUGCUCGGCUUGGUGGCCAGACACGGCCAAGCCCAGAGCAGGGCUGGUGACCCCUCUUCUCCCCACUUGCAGAUCCCUGUGCAUCACCGCCCAGCAGAGACAACGUCCCACCGCCUGCCACCUCCACCACCACCACCACCACCGCCACCGCCACCACCACCCUCCGCCCCACUGCCCCCGCCCCGGUUGGAGUCUCUUUAUCUCUUCGAUUUUGCACACGUUGAGGACGUAUCACGCUUCUCGCCAUCGCUCUGGAGGAGGAGGGAGCUGCCGCCGCACCAUGGGGACCUGCCCUCCCCUCCCUGCCUCCCAGCCGCGGGGGAGCCCGCAAACCUCUCCGGACCGAGCGCGAGGGAACGCACUGGCCCCCUUCCCCGCCGCCCUUCCCCUCGGUGCCCACCACGGACGAGCACCCCCGGGCCCCCUCCGCCCCUUUCCCGGCGAGCGAGAAGCGAACCCAGGCGCCGCGUUGCCGCCGAGGACCAGCCCCGAGCCGGGGAGCCGGCGCGCGUGCAGCUAACCCGCUGCACCAUGGACAUGCGGCACCGCAGCCCCUCCGGCACCGCCGCCGCCAGGACGCGGGUGACAACGGCGCAUCUGGAAAAGGGGACGGGAAAACGGGGUCACCCAAGGACUGAACCCGCUUMCCCGAGCUCUGGAGCGCACGGAAAAGCUGGAGGGGUGCACGGGUCGGGGGGGGGCUCGGUCCCCCCACCGUGCACCCAGUGGAGGAAAUAA